GUUCCUUGUUUUCUUCAAAACUAAAAAGGCCAUAAAUUUUUACCUGUGAAAGAAGAAAAGGACCGAUGAAGAAUUCAAAGCUGUUAUGGCCGGAGAGCAAGGCUGUCACGUCGAUUGAAGUUGAAAAGAAACUAGAAUCCCAACUAUUUGUAGUCGGAUGUUGAAGUCGCCGAGGAUUGAAAUAAGAAAUUUGCAGAACAGUUGGUUGGGAGAGAGUUGAGAGAAGCUAUCGAGAGAGGGAUGAGAGACAAGUUGAUUGAAUUGAAGAGGGG
rnacentral:lncRNA from 1 species